AUUGAACGCUGGCGGCAUGCUUUACACAUGCAAGUCGAACGGUAACAGGCCUUCGGGCGCUGACGAGUGGCGAACGGGUGAGUAAUGCAUCCGAACGUGCCCAGUCGUGGGGGAUAACGCAGCGAAAGCUGUGCUAAUACCGCAUACGAUCUAUGGAUGAAAGCGGGGGACCGUAAGGCCUCGCGCGAUUGGAGCGGCUGAUGUCAGAUUAGGUAGUUGGUGGGGUAAAGGCUCACCAAGCCAACGAUCUGUAGCUGGUCUGAGAGGACGACCAGCCACACUGGAACUGAGACACGGUCCAGACUCCUACGGGAGGCAGCAGUGGGGAAUUUUGGACAAUGGGCGCAAGCCUGAUCCAGCAAUGCCGCGUGCAGGAAGAAGGCCUUCGGGUUGUAAACUGCUUUUGUACGGAACGAAACGGCGAGCUCUAAUACAGUUUGCUAAUGACGGUACCGUAAGAAUAAGCACCGGCUAACUACGUGCCAGCAGCCGCCGUAACAC
rnacentral:rRNA from 1 species